UACGGGGGGUGCGAGCGUUGUCCGGAAUCACUGGGCGUAAAGGGCGCGUAGGUGGUUUGAUAAGGGUGUGGUGAAAGUCCGGGGCUCAACCCCGGAUCUGCCGUGCCGACUGUCAAACUCGAGGGCUGUAGAGGCAGACGGAAUUCCGGGUGUAGCGGUGGAAUGCGUAGAGAUCCGGAGGAACACCGGUGGCGAAGGCGGGUCUCUGGGCCGAUACUGACGCUGAGGAGCGAAAGCGUGGGGAGCGAACAGG
rnacentral:rRNA from 1 species